CCCUUAGAUGUCCGGGGCUGCACGCGCGCUACACUGAAGGAAUCAGCGUGCUAAAACCAUUGUCGAAAGGCAUUGGUAAACCCAUUAAAAUCCUACGUGAUUGGGAUCGGGAAUUGCAAUUAUUUCCCUUGAACGAGGAAUUCCCAGUAAGUAUGGGUCAUAAGCUCGCGUUGAUUACGUCCCUGCCCUUUGUACACACCGCCCGUCGCUGCCCGGGACUGAGCCGUUUCGAGAAAAGCGGGGACUGCUGCUGUCGGGGCUUUCGGGCCUUGGCUUCGGUGGAAACCGCUUUAAUCGCAGUGGCUUGAACCGGGCAAAAGUCGUAGCA
rnacentral:rRNA from 1 species